UGUGCGGACUAGCGGCCCGAAAUACAUUGCUCAGUCCGAAAAGUCAGAUAUUGCUUCAUAAAAACGGGGAAUUGUUUACAUUGGGUGCAGCUCCAUACAUCCGGGAUGCUUUGCUCCUCGAUGUUUAUACCGCAUCCACGGAGGGCUUCGCGAUGCCUACUGGGAGAUGUAGUUCUUCAAUCUCCGAUUGUAUCCCACGGGCCCUGGUGGCGGGCCAGCUUGAAGAUUCUGGAAAGAAAGUCCAGCCGAUAAUGUGUUCGGGGCUUCGUUAGAGCAUAACUGUGUCUAAAUCCAAACCAAACCUGAGCUCAUGGCAAAGUAAAGUCUGUAUGCCGAAAGUUACCCAAGAUCACUUACCUGCUGCAGCGUUUCAGUGAAAGGCCAAAUCAGUUAUUUCUUAACAUUUUUCUCUUUGUCGAGGAAAGGUGAUCAUAAAUGUUAGACCUGAAACAUCACUUAUGUUUCUCUGUACAGUUGGUGCUUGACCUAUUUCAGUUUCAAUUUCUGAUUUUUUUUAAGUUGCUCUUAUCUCUGGAGAGGUACAAAUUGAGAGAAAAGGCCACAAAAUUGUGACAAGACCAUUGAAUUCAAAUGGUCCUCUCGUCUAAACGGUGGUUCUUCUUAGGAAACUAGACAAAUCAUGAAAGCUUCAUAAAUAUAUUCAUCAUGAGAUUGUUAUCAUUGAUUGUAAGAGAUUGAAAAACCAAUUUAAAAAAAAAACUUGCAACUCAAAGUUGACGCCCUGAAAGUUUCUGGAUAUAUCUUACUAUAUUGUUCUAAUUUCCAGCUCAUUUUAGUAUAUUAUUCAACAUCUCUAAUCUUUUCUUAAUCAGUCACAAUUCAAUAUUUCACCCAACCCCAUUCUAUGGCAGAGGGACAAAUUGCCCAUCCCAUGAAACUGAAAACUCAACAUGAUGUGGUUUGUGAGAAGUGUACUAUUCUAAUUGAACAACUAAUUAUCUCUUAACCAUGAUCAUUGCAUUAGAGGUUACAGAGAGAACCUCCACGGUUUCUUGCUACAAAGAUUGAAAAGUAUCGCAUUAACAAAUGAUUGUAUUCAACUUUAAAUGUAUGGAAAUAAAAUACAGUAAUUACUGAUGAUGCAGCCAUUUAGCACAUAAUCUGAAUUUUGUAAUUUAUAGUCUGCAAGACUUAUGAAUAAAAGUGCAAUCAAAGUAAUACCAUACUUUGGUGAUUUGUUCAUUGACCAUCUUGAUUUUUACCAGUGAACCUAAUAACAUUUUUGUAGUUAAUGUGGGCCACAAAAUGACUUCUGUAAUACAGAUGUUAAAGUUGAGAUAUUAACUCUCUA